rnacentral:rRNA from 1 species
CCUACGGGAGGCUGCAGUGAGGAAUAUUGGUCAAUGGACGAGAGUCUGAACCAGCCAAGUAGCGUGAAGGAUGACUGCCCUAUGGGUUGUAAACUUCUUUUAUAUGGGAAUAAAACGUUCCACGUGUGGGUUUUUGUAUGUACCAUAUGAAUAAGGAUCGGCUAACUCCGUGCCAGCAGCCGCGGUAAUACGGAGGAUCCGAGCGUUAUCCGGAUUUAUUGGGUUUAAAGGGUGCGUAGGUGGAUGGUUAAGUCAGUUGUGAAAGUUUGCGGCUCAACCGUAAAAUUGCAUUUGAAACUGGCAGUCUUGAGAAUAGUAGAGGUGGGCGGAAUGCGUGGUGUAGCGGUGAAAUGCUUAGAGAUCAUGAAGAACACCGAUUGCGAAGGCAGCUCACUGGGCUGCAACUGACACUGAGGCUCGAAAGUGUGGGUAUCAAACAGGAUUAGAUACCCGGGUAGUC